UAGCUCAGUGGUAGAGCACUGUCUUAAAUUCACCAGGCCCUGGGUUCAAGUCCCAG
rnacentral:tRNA from 1 species